GCCGGUCUAGUAUAGUGGUCAGUACAGUUCGUUGUGGCCGAACAGACCCAGGUUCGAUUCCUGGGGCCGGCA
rnacentral:tRNA from 5 species